CUUUGAUCUAUAAAUUACUGAGAGUAUGUUUUUUAAAAACCUUGAUUUAUGGUAGAUUUGUUUAUCAUUGUGGUCCUGUCCAUUUUUGCUCACAUAUUUUGCAGCUGUAUUAUUUGGUGAGUACAGGUUGAGAAUUGUUACAUCUUCCUGGGGGAACUUUCAUCAGUAUCUACUUUUUGCCCUGCAGUUCAUUUUGUGUGAUUUUUGGCAACCACCGU
rnacentral:lncRNA from 1 species